AGAGUUUGAUCCUGGCUCAGAAUUAACGCUAGCGAUACACCUAACACAUGCAAGUUGAACGCAUACAUUUUGUAUGAGUAGCGAACGGGUGCGUAACACGUGAGAAUCUACCCAUGGUUUGUGGCGAGAUGUUGCAGAAUCCCAAUGGGGUUUAGAUAUAUAUCGACCAUGGAUGAGCUUGCGGGGUAUUAGGUAGUUGGUGUGGUAAUGGCGCACCAAGCCCAAGAUGCCUAGCCGGUUUGAGAGAAUGAUCGGCCACACUGGGACUGAGACACGGCCCAGACGCUUACGAGCGGCAGCAGUGGGGAAUAUUGGACAAUGGGCGCAAGCCUGAUCCAGUGAUAUCGCUUUGAGGAUGACGGCGACAUACGUUGUAAACUCAGUGGAAUAUGUGUAGAUUAUGACCGUGCAUAUUUUAGAAGUCCCGGCUAAUCUCGUGCCAGCAGCCGCGGUAAUACGAGAGGGGCGAGCGUUAUUCAAAAUGAUUGGGCGUAAAGCGCACGUAGGUGGUGAUAUGUAGACGUCGCGAUUCAGAUUAUGAAUCUUGUCGAUCGCGGUGAUCCUAUAUAUCGCUUGAGGGCGUGAGAGGAGCAUGGAAUUCCCUAGGAAGCGGUAGAAUGUGUUGAUCUAGGGAGGAACACCAAUAGCGAAAGCAGUGCUCUAGCACGUACCUGACGUUGAGGUGCGAAAGCGUGGGGAGCAAAAGGGAUUAGAUACCCCUGUAGUCCACGCUGUCAACGAUGACCAUUCCCUGUGCCCUGAUUCUAUUGGGGCGUGGGUUAGCUAACGCGGUAAAUGGUCCGCCUGAGGAGUACGGUCGCAAGACUAAAACUCAAAGGAAUAGACGGGGGCUCACACAAGUGGUGGAACAUGUGGUUUAAUUCGAUACUACGCGCAAAACCUUACCAGUUCUUGACAUGAUCCCUAUGGAUCACAGGUGUUGCAUGGCUGUCGUCAGCUCGUGUGGUGACAUGUUGGAUUAAUUUCCCGAACGAGCGAAACCCUGCCACACUGCAAUAUCAUAUGACUUCAGUGUGGACCGCCAGUGAUAGACUGGAGGCAGGAUAGGAUGACGUCAAGUCCUCAUGACCCUUAUGAACUGGGCUACACACGUGUUACAAUGGUGUGAACAAUACGUUGCAAUGACGAAAGUCGGAGCCAAUCGUGAAAUCACACCCCAAUACGGAUUGGUGUCUGCAACUCGACUCCAUGAAGCCGGAAUCACUAGUAAUCGUGGAUCAGCAUGCCACGGUGAAUACGUACCUGAGCCUUGUACUCACCGCCCGUC
rnacentral:rRNA from 1 species